rnacentral:piRNA from 1 species
UGCCUAAGGCUGUGAUGUAGACUGAUAAU